rnacentral:misc_RNA from 1 species
AGUGAUACUCCAACAAAUGCCCCUGUUACAAUUGCAAGAACACAUGCUCAGUUAUCCUCAUUCCCAAAGUAUCUGAUUGCUGAAUAAAAUUGUGCAAAACUGAUGUAAAACAAGCUCCGAUACAAAAUUGACAUAGAGCAAGAAGAAAAAGAAUAAACAGCAACAAAAUCACAAAUCUUAUUAAAUGUCAACAAUAAUAUCAUAAUAAACUCAGUCUAAUAAAAUAUCUA